rnacentral:lncRNA from 1 species
UAAUAAGUAAUCAUGGAUAUAAAAUUAUAUGCAUUAAUAAAAAACAUAUGGAUAUAAAAUUCUAUCUGUACGUUUUUUUUUAUUUUAUUUGUUUACCAUAUAUACAAUUCCUGAAGAGGUUAUUUACUAACAAUAUCCUUAGUUAAUUAAGUGUAAUGAAUGGGAUUGAUAUGUUUUAUUAUAUGAUCAUGAUCGAAUCAGAAUUCAUUAAGUCACAAUUUAUAUGCAUUAAUAUCAUUCCAUGUGUUUUUUAUCAAAAAUCAGAAACUAAAAGAUAGUAUUUGGGUGACUUAAUUAUACUGAAAAGGGUAUUAUAAAAUAUUAAUGUGCAUAAACGGAAUUUGACAAUAAUAGUAAUACUAAUACCAUAAACGGAAUUGGAGAGAUUAAUGAUAGUUUGACCAACUUGAAUGGUUUACUCAUUAUUUUAAUUACCAUAUAUACAAAAACUAUCAUUAAUAUUAUUAGUCAAAAUUGAUGCGAUCCUUAAUAAUCGUAAACGAUAACAUGAUAUGGACAAAUCCACUAUUAAAUGGUAAAUUGAUGUGAUCCUUAAUAAUAGUAAACGAUAACAUGAUAUGGACAAAAUUGAAUAGGGGAAUGAGUAAUUGGACAAAAUUCAGUAAUUGCAUCAAUAAAAAAAAACGUGAGGAAUUUGAGAGAUAAACGUGAGGAUAAUAAGUAAUCAUGAUAAUAGCUGUAUCAUUUAAUUGGCAAGAUAAUUGGAGAGAUAAACAUAAUGUGUAUAUUGUUGCAUC